rnacentral:sRNA from 1 species
UAGGCUUAGGCUUAGGCUUAAACGUAGGCUUGGGCUUUGUCUUAGGCUUAGGCU